CCAGAAUGUUUCCCGGGGAGUUGACGGGGGAUGGCGAUAAUUUGCCAGAUUCCGUCGCCGCACUGGAAAUCUUCGAUCGCGGCCAAGGAACUGAACAAGGGUGGGGGCGGGGGGGGGUGGAGGGGGUGGGGGGGACUCUGAGCUCUGCGUUUGCGCCUUUGGGCCCUACACGAAGGUGGCGACUUCACUGGACAGCGGAGACUUCCACAUAAUGCAGCACUGGCCGUGUGUUUCCGUGGCGUUUAAUUCUCUCUCUACGUCUUCCCCUUCUUCCUUCUCUUCACCGUAUUCUUCAUCUUCUUCCUCUUCCUCUUCUUCCUCAUCUUCUUCUUAUUAUUAUUAUUCUUAUCAUUCUUAUUAUUCUUAUUCUUCUCUUUAAUAUCACGCCACCUGCACACACCCAGGACCACUACACUCAGCCCCACGCGUUGCACGACGACACCGCUCGUCGGCCAGGGCCUCUCCUCUGUGUGCGCUCAUUUUCAUGGGACGGUCAAUUCCCACCGGCAUUCUUCAAUGUCCACCUUUUUAAUCGGUUAGAUUCGCAGGGGUGGGUAAGGUCCGGCCCGCGGGCCGUAUGAGGCCCGCGAAAUCAUUUGGGUCUCUGGCCCUGCCAAGGCAACAGCAGGCGGGACUCGAAAUUCAAUACAUUUAGGAGCAAAACCUGGAAAAGCAGUUGCGAGUAGCGACAACAUCGUCAAUAGCCGGCUAACAUCAUCGCCACGCCUCGCCAAAGAGAAGCAAGUUCCAGCCAAUCGCAUUAGCGGCGAGUUAAUGCGAUGUUUGACCAAAUAUAGCGGGCUAAUUUUGAAGUUGAUAACUUUUUUUAUGGCCCGCGAAUGAUGUUAUAAGUAUCGAAAUGGCCCUAGGCAGAAAAAAGGCUCCCCCCACCCCUGGGUUAAAAGUGUCCAGAAUUUGGCGUACGGGCAGCAGGAAGCGAGUUAGUGGAGGAGGAGGAGGAGGAAAGAGGAAGCGGUGUUUAAUUUGUUGCAUUCAGUCUGCGCUUAAUCGUCUAAUUAAAAACCGCUUGUAAGAGCGCUAAUCGCAAUUAGGGUUAAUUAAGAGUGCACAGGAAGAAUUGGAACCGCGCAGGCGCGGUCUCCCGUUGUGAACCUUGCAAUCGCAAUUCCGCCACGCGUGUUAAAGGGGGGGGGGCAAGCAAUGCCCCCCCCCCCCGCCAUGUGCGUUCCGACGUUCCAUCUCCUUCCCUCCACGUGUAUAUCCGUCACGAUUCAGGGUCGCGACGCAGGGUCACGAUGUGGUUCAUCCUCCGCGCGCGCGUGGCGCUCGCGAGUGCCUCAAGUCGAAGGAGAAGAUUUUGUUUUUGGUCGGUGCGUUCAUCGCCGAGACGUUACGGCUGCCUCCGAGAUUGGUCGCGGUGUGGUUCCUCUCGGUGUCGGUGGACGGUCCUCAACAACACGCGGCACUGCCAAUAACCCCAUGAAACCUGCCAGUGGCACGUGGAACGAAAUGUCGGACACGGUGCCCGACAAACGCAGCAGCGCAAGCGGCGACGCAACGCCCUUGCUGCUGUACCGCUAUUGUCUCUCUGAUUUGAAGAAAGAAAAAAAAAACACAUGGUUUUCCUUGUUGGCACCAAUGACCCACAUUCUCCAAACUUUUGCAAUCUGUGUUUUGUUGUGGCUCUUUGUUUGUUGUUGUUGUUGUUGACAGAAGAAAGAAAAAAAACGUCGCGUGUUUUAUAGUUUUUUUUUUAUUUGUUGUCGUGUGUGUGUGUAUGUGUAGGGGUGGUUUCUUGGCUGGUUGUUGUUGUGUGUCCGUCUAAUAAUUCUGCUAUUUUACUACUUUAGCCGCCCGUAGAUUCAGGUUCGAAGUGUCAACGUUACGGUAACGUCACGAAAAGUGUGGCCAAUCGAAACUGAUGAUGCCGAUAGUAAUAAUAAUAAUACCGAUGCUGAUAAUAUUCACAAUAAUUGUAACCCGAUUUAUUUUGAGAAACCCACGAUAGGUCGGUCGGUAUUAAACAGCUCCAUUUUUGGGUUAGCACAUCGUUUUCAUAUAUAUAUGCCAAGGUCUGAUAGACAAGGCCCCGUCAAUGGUAAAUACGUAUUUGACAACGUUUUACUUAUUCUAUGUGGACUAUUGUAUAACGCACCGUGUGUUAAGGAGAAGAGAGUGAGAGAGAGAGAAGGAAACAAUAACGAACUCGUAAAUGUAAACCUGAUGUUUUAUUUGAAAAGAUGUGGUCACAAACAGCGCGCGCGCGCGCGUGGAAUUCUUCGGGAUGUCUCUGUACAAUGUUUGCGUUUUCUGACAAAACUCGUUUAAAAAAUGCCUUAAACUUAUUUAAAAUCAACCCCCCCCACC